rnacentral:rRNA from 1 species
GAACGGCAGCACGGGAGCAAUCCUGGUGGCGAGUGGCGAACGGGUGAGUAAUAUAUCGGAACGUGCCCAGUCGUGGGGGAUAACGUAGAGAAAUUUACGCUAAUACCGCAUACGAUCUAAGGAUGAAAGCGGGGGACCGUAAGGCCUCGCGCGAUUGGAGCGGCUGAUAUCAGAUUAGGUUGUUGGUGAGGUAAAAGCUCACCAAGCCGACGAUCUGUAGCUGGUUUGAGAGAACGACCAGCCACACUGGGACUGAGACACGGCCCAGACUCCUACGGGAGGCAGCAGUGGGGAAUUUUGGACAAUGGGCGAAAGCCUGAUCCAGCAAUGCCGCGUGCAGGAAGAAGGCCUUCGGGUUGUAAACUGCUUUUGUACGGAACGAAAAGGCCUGCCUUAAUACGGCGGGCCCAUGACGGUACCGUAAGAAUAAGCACCGGCUAACUACGUGCCAGCAGCCGCGGUAAUACGUAGGGUGCGAGCGUUAAUCGGAAUUACUGGGCGUAAAGCGUGCGCAGGCGGUGAUGUAAGACAGUUGUGAAAUCCCCGGGCUCAACCUGGGAAUUGCAUCUGUGACUGCAUCGCUAGAGUACGGUAGAGGGGGAUGGAAUUCCGCGUGUAGCAGUGAAAUGCGUAGAUAUGCGGAGGAACACCGAUGGCGAAGGCAAUCCCCUGGACCUGUACU